UCCUUCUGAUAUUCUCAUUACAGGCAACAUGAAUUAAACUGAGAGACCAACAGGUUUCUUCUCCAUAUGAUUCUAGAAAAAAGUGAGGGAGCUUGGGAUUGCCCUGAAAAGGGUAAUGUGGACGCUGAUACAAAAGACAUGCUAUAGGAUCUGUGUUUCUGGAGAACACUGAUUAAGACACCACUGGAACCUACUGGAGGAUCAAAUAUAAAUUGAGGGGAAUUGCCAUAGUGGCCCCAGCCAAAACCAGUGCAGAUCAAUCACCAGCUGGUCAAUCCUGACAAGAUGAUCAGAGUCUCCUAAUGGACACCAGCUGACUUCAGGUGGAUAAGCAAUAAACACUUAUUUCGUAAGCCAUUGGGGAUUUUUAUUGUUAUUUAGCAACACUAUAACAAUAAAUUACUUACAUAGGAACUAAAGUUUCUCAAUGCCUAAGAUACUUUCCAAUUAUUAAGCACUUCUUGAAACUUUUUGUAACUUUAAAUGUAAACAGGGCAUUGUUUAGCAAGUGACAAACAAAAUUGUAUUUUCUUCAAAUUUUCAAUGAAAGCAUAUUCCAGAAGUUUUUCCAACUCAUUAUUCAUCAAAACUACUAAAUCUUUGAGUAUUGUCAUUAUAUUUUAUAAUUUAAAUAUGAUAUUUCACUUAUGUAGAAACAUCUGAGAAGUAAAAUUGCUUACAUUUAGUUAUAUCCAUCUGAAAGCUACACAAAUUAUUUGGAGAUGAGUUCAAACACCUUUGACUACAGGUCUAAAUGAGGAUGGAAAAGAAUUUUUGACAGAAGAAUUCUUGAUGCUCUUAACACUU
rnacentral:lncRNA from 1 species